CUAGUUUUAUGAUUUAGAAACUAGGUUUUAAAAUCUUGGUUUUCUCCCUUAAUAAUCUUGGUUCAAUAAUUUUCAAUUUCUAUUGUUAGAAGGUGAUCUUUCAGGCUCAAAAUGGCCAAAAGUAGUUAAAGGGACAGGUUGCUAUACUGAAUAACUUCUCAUCUUUUGGGGUCUUUCUACUGGCAGAAAAACUUGUCAAGUCAUUCUAUUCCAACCUUGUCGAGGCACUUCAGACCGAUCCACAAGUUUUUCAUUGCAUUAUUUUAUUUGCGGGUCUAAUUCUAUUAGUGUAGCUAAAGUUCUUCUCUAAUACGUAUUUAUGUAUGAAGAUCUGCAAAAAUUAUCCUAGUUUGAUUCACUUGCUUUAUUCAUCUUUUUUUCCUCCAUUACCCAUUUAUUUUUCUCUUCUCGUGUCCUUGACUUUCGAUACAAGUCAUCUAAUUCUGCAAAUUUCUGUAUAAGCCUAAGGAUUUCACCUACACUAAUUUUUUGUACUUUGUGUCUCGAAAAAAUUACUCAUUUUGUGUUGUUGUGUUACUGUGCCUUAUUUGAAAUUAGUUCGAGAGUCAAAAGUCAAUUCAUCACUAUGCAUUUAAGUAUGCAACAUGCUUAUGCCAGAACAUAGAAAAGCUGAGUGACAGAGAUGUUGAAUCUAUUGCUGGCAAUUCUCUACUUGAUGCAGCAUAUUUUGAUAACUACAAGUUUGUUGAACUUAUAGUCAGAAGAUUUCCUUAUUUAGUUUAUUAUGAACUUACACAUUGCAAUAGAGAAUCGCUGCAAAAUUGUGUUUAAGUUGGUCUGUCAGAUGAGCCGGAUUCUGAACCAUUUGGUGAUUUAUUUUGACUCCUCGGGCAAUACCAUCUUGGAUUUGGCUGGAAAGAUGUCACCACAAAAUAAGCUAAACUUUGUCUCUGGACCAGUUUUUCAGAUAUAACUAGAACUACAAUGGUUUAAGUAAAGCAGAUGGUCCCGCCUUAAAUCGUGAGGAGAAAGCUCCGUAUGUGGUUUUUACUGAGGAACAUGAGAAGUUGAAAGUACAUGGAGAGAAAUGGAACAUCAAGCACACGCACAAUUGCAGCAUCACUAUUUGCUACCAUCGCUUUUGCUGCAGCAAUCACAGUACCAGGUGGCAACAAAGAAAAAAGUGGACUCCCCAUUUUCUCAGCUGGAAACAUUGUGUUUUCAUCAUUUUUGCAAUCUCGAAUGCAGAUUCAUUGUUCACUUCAAGCACCUCUCUAUUAGUGUUCUUUUCUAUUUUGACAUCUCGUUAUGCACAAGAAGAUUUCCUGCAUACUUUGCCAAGAAGUCUUAUCCAGGGAGUGGUAACUCUGAUUAUUUCCACAGUAUUUAUGAUGUUUAACAAAGAGUUUGGGCAGGAGAAAUCAUGGGUUUUUAUACCCAUCAUGACAAUGGCUCUCCUACCCAUUAUUUCAUUUGUGCUUCUGCAAUUUCCCUCCUUGUUGAUCUCGUUUCCUCAACAUAUGGGAUGGCAUUUAUGAAAAUUAAACAAGAGUAACUUGUUGUUCUAAAGUACUAUUUUUGAUUGCUUGUUUUAAUAUUUGAACACGUCAA